GCGGGUGUGGCGGAAUUGGUAGACGCGCUGGAUUUAGGUUCCAGUGGCUUUAAGCCGUGGGAGUUCAAGUCUCUUCACCCGCACCA
rnacentral:tRNA from 2 species